rnacentral:rRNA from 1 species
ACUCUAGGGAUAACAGGCUGAUCUUCCCCAAGAGUUCACAUCGACGGGAAGGUUUGGCACCUCGAUGUCGGUUCAUCACAUCCUGGAGCGGCAGUACGUUCCAAGGGUUGGGCUGUUCGCCCAUUAAAGUGGUACGUGAGCUGGGUUCAGAACGUCGUGAGACAGUUUGGUCCAUAUCCGGUUUAGGCGUUAGAGCAUUGAGAGGAGCCUUCUCUAGUACGAGAGGAUUGUAGAAAGGUGAGCCUAUAGUGUACCAGUUAUUCUUCCAAGAGUAAACGCUGGGUAGCCAUGCUCAUAGGAAUAACUGCUGAAAGCAUCUAAGUAGGAAAUCCACCUCAAGAUGAU